rnacentral:rRNA from 1 species
AUACGGAAGGUCCGGGCGUUAUCCGGAUUUAUUGGGUUUAAAGGGAGCGCAGGCGGAGAUGCAAGCGUGACGUCAAAUUUCGGGGCUCAACCCUGUCUCGCGUCGCGAACUGCGUCCCUUGGUUGCGGGAAGGGGAGGCGGAACUCGUGGUGUAGCGGUGAAAUGCAUAGAUAUCACGAAGAACUCCGAUCGCGAAGGCAGCCUUCCGGCCCGUCAACGACGCUCAUGCUCGAAGGUGCGGGUAUCAAACAGGAUUAGAUACCCUGGUAGUCCGCACAGUAAACGAUGGACACCCGCGGUUUGGCCUGUAUGGCUGAGCCGCCAAGCGAAAGCGUUAAGUGUCCCACCUGGGGAGUACGCCGGCAACGGUGAAACUUAAAGGAAUUGACGGGG